rnacentral:lncRNA from 1 species
AGCAGCACUCAACCAGUUCAUAAUCUCCGUUGAUAGUUGAUCCAAGGUCUGGAGAUCACUCUCACCCACAGACGAGAAUGAUUCCUGAAGCUCGUCAAUGGCAAACUGCAACAAGUCCUUACAGUCACCGAGGGCCAUUUGCGUCCUGGAGUCAUUAGUGGCUUGGAAGAGUUUCUCCGAAAGAUUCAUCGAGCUCUUAAUCUGUUUAAUGGUCACUUGCACAGCCGCCUGGAUGUAAUCCUUGGGCGUAGCACUGCUUCCAUUUUUGGGAACCGGACUGAGAGUUUGCAUACAAGCGUCCUUAUAAUCAGCAGUGGCACAAACGGAGGCAACAGCCUUCAUUGACGACGACAUGUUGGUGUCACCGUCAGUACGAUCGCUUCCAUGGGGGCGCGUUACACUGACAAUGCCGAUGAUCACACCCACCACAAGGAACAGAGAUAUCCCUGAAACUACUGCUUUUCCUAUCAUUUUGGUUCCCUUAUUUAUUCCCCUCUCCGCCAACUGGGGCUUUGCAACCGUACAGCCUCCUCCCCGACCAGGAGACGGAGAGAAAGAUUAAGGGGAAAGAGAGAAUUACCUCCCUUUUCGGGCACUUCUGGUGCGAGGCGACGAGGGCUGCAAGAUGCAUUAUAUUCAGCAUGGAGUUUCCAGGAUUAAAUAACCUAACAUUAUUUAAUUAUUAAUUUAUGUAACGUAUAAAUUAAGUUCUAUUUGAAUCUAACUUGAUAUUUUUAUUAUUUAAUUAAUCUAUUUACUCAAAAUUAAAAUUUAAUAUGAAUUAAAUCAAAAUCAAAUUAACAAGUAUAAUAUUAAGUAGUUCUAUUUAAAUCUUAUUUAUAUGUAAUGUUGUUUAUUAAAAAAACUGCACAUCUAGAUGGAAUUUGAUCCAAACAUACCAUUCUAUUUCAUCAAAACCCUUGAAAGAAAAGGUGUUAGUGUUCACGAAUUAUAUCAAAUUUUGUCAUCCCUGUUAUAUUUUUGGUCCAUUUUCAUUUUCAAUCAAUAGAAUACAUAAUUAUAAUUAUUAUUAAUUUUGAAAUGGAUAAUGAAAUUUGCACCACAUUUUCACAGGUUUUUUUUUUUUUUUCUUUUAAGAUCAAGGGGAACCAAAAUCAUAUUACAUUGCAGAGCAAAGAGGGACAAGAGGGAGGCCUACAGACCAAAAGUCAAGGAUUAAAGAAGAAACCAGUGGGUACUUCACAAUUGAAGGACAGUCUUCCCUCAAAAUGAGGCACCACUUGCUUAAUUCCCUCAAUAAGAUAGAACUCAGCUACACGCAUGAUGAUCCAGUCUGCAUGGCGCUCUCUCUUGAAUGUAUAUCCCCUCUCCUCGAGGCCAACAUGUCGAGCUUUAACGUUUGAGGCUUGGCAGAUAAGGGAUAUUAAUUUGUUUCAGCCAGAGGUUUCCCUGAAUGAAUGAGUUGACCGUGUACUGAAGAGCCUCGUUCCUGGUCUUGAUGAUCCUGUAACCCUUCCAUGUCACCCUGCUGCGGGUGUUUGCACCAGGGCCGCGGUUCCCAUACUCAGCGUAGAAGAGUGUGUUCAGGGCAAAGUCCCCAGCCCACGGCAUCCACCCGGCUGGUUGGAUGAAAUCUCCCAAGGUCGUCUCCAUUAUAAUCGUCUUUGAGUACGGCUUCCAUGGACGACCCAAGAAUGAAGGGAUCUUGAACCUGUCAGGGAACAGUUUUUGCUCUGGGACGAUUCUGCAAUUGUGGAUCACCAAUCCAGUGGUUUCACGCUUUUCAGCUUUUCCGUGUGCAGUCACUGUGUUUUGUUGGUUGUCCUUUGGCCUUCUUACUAUGAUCAAGGAGUUCUGGAUCACAGUCGUCGAGUCACCGAAGAUGAAGUCUAUGGUGCCCGAGAUGACACAAUUGCGGUAGAACUGGCGAUGGGCCUGGAUGUACAAGGUGUCUUGGUACCCGUCCAUUCUGCAGUUGAAGAUUGCUGACAUAUCUGAUUGGACGCGGAGAGCAACAGCCUGGUGCCCGUCAGGACCUGCGGUGUUGACGAAUCCCAUCGACCUCGCAACAAACCCCUUUCCAAUGGCCGCUGCAACCCAUAUUUACACACAUUAAAGCAUGGACAGUCAUUAGUCUUAACGCAAAAGAAAAGCAAUUAGGAGACUCACAGAAUGUGGCAGUCUUGUAAGUGGUGAUUCCGUCGCGGUAGCUUUUGGUUCCAGUGACAAUGGUCUUCCUGGGCCCAUCUCCGUACAUGUACACAUUAACCUGAUCUUUGGUGACGGUAAUGUACUCGCGGUAGAUUCCGGCCUUCACGUAGAUAACAUAUCUUCCUUUGAGGUUCUUGGGGUAGGCGGCGAGAGCUGCAGCAAUAGUCGUGAAAUGUCCGCUGCCAUCUUUGGCCACAAUAGCGUUAGGAGUUAGCCUGCCGUUGUCAUGUAAAGCCAAAAGCUUUCUGUCCGUGGCUGAGAACCAGGUGGGAUACCCAUCAUGGCCAAGUACGUCAAUUUCUCCGAGAAGCCUUCUGGAGUUGGGCUUGAGAUCCAGUGAGACAUUGAAUUUGGUGAGAAUUUGAGAAAUGUCGGACACAAUAGCUAGGGCGUUGCUGGUAAGUUGCGUGGCAUUGAGGAGACCUUUCUGCAUAGCGGUCUGAAACCGUGGUUCGAUGACUCCAUCAAGGCAUGUCUGUUGGUACGAAACAACAGCACUCAACCAAUUCAUAAUCUCCGUUGAUAGUUGAUCCAAGGUCUGGAGAUCACUCUCACCCACAGACGAGAAUGAUUCCUGAAGCUCGUCAAUGGCAAACUGCAACAAGUCCUUACAGUCACCGAGGGCCAUUUGCGUCCUGGAGUCAUUAGUGGCUUGGACGAGUUUCUCCGAAAGAUUCAUCGAGCUCUUAAUCUCUUUCAUGGUCACUUGCACAGCCGCCUGGAUGUAAUCCUUGGGCGUAGCACUGCCAUUUUUGGCAACCGGACUGAGAGUUUGCAUACAAGCGUCCUUAUAAUCAGCAGUGGCACAAACGGAGGCCACAGCCUUCAUUGACGACGACAUGUUGGUGUUACCGUCAUUACGAUCGCUUCCAUGGGGGCGCGUUACACUGACAAUGCCGAUGAUCACACCCACCACAAGGAUCAGAGAUAUCCCUGAAACUACUGCUUUUCCUAUCAUUUUG